UACGGGGGGGGCAAGCGUUGUUCGGAAUUACUGGGCGUAAAGGGCUCGUAGGUGGCCAACUAAGUCAGACGUGAAAUCCCUCGGCUUAACCGGGGAACUGCGUCUGAUACUGGAUGGCUUGAGUUUGGGAGAGGGACGCGGAAUUCCAGGUGUAGCGGUGAAAUGCGUAGAUAUCUGGAGGAACACCGGUGGCGAAGGCGGCAUCCUGGACCAAUACUGACACUGAGGAGCGAAAGCCAGGGGAGCAAACGGG
rnacentral:rRNA from 1 species